rnacentral:rRNA from 1 species
GACGAACCGUGCGAACGUUGUUCGGAAUCACUGGGCUUAAAGGGCGCGUAGGCGGUUGAUCAAGUCUGGGGUGAAAUCUUUCGGCUUAACCGGAAAAGUGCCUUGGAUACUGGUCAGCUGGAGGGAGGUAGGGGCAGUUGGAACUUCCAGUGGAGCGGUGAAAUGCGUAGAUAUCUGGAGGAAUACCGGUGGCGAAGGCGGCAUCCUGGACCGACAUUGACGCUGAACGGCGAAAGCUAGGGGAGCAAACGGG